rnacentral:rRNA from 1 species
ACUCAAAGGAAUUGACGGGGGCCCGCACAAGCAGCGGAGCGUGUGGUUUAAUUCGACGCAACGCGCAUCACCUUACCAGGGUUUGACAUCCUCAGGAUCCGGCUGAAAGGCUGGAGUGCCCGCAAGGGAGCUGAGAGACAGGUGUUGCAUGGCUGUCGUCAGCUCGUGUCGUGAGAUGUUGGGUUAAGUCCCGCAACGAGCGCAACCCCCGUGGCUAGUUACGUGGUUGUCUAGCCAGACUGCCGGUAGCAAACCGGAGGAAGGUGGGGAUGAUGUCAAGUCAGCAUGACCCUUACACCCUGGGCGACACACACGCUACAAUGGCCGGGACAGUGGGCAGCCAAGCGGUAACGCGGAGCCAAUCCCCCAAACCCGGUCUCAGUUCAGAUCGUGGGCUGCAACUCGCCCACGUGAAGGCGGAGUUGCUAGUAACCGCAGAUCAGCAGUGCUGCGGUGAAUAUGUUCCCGGGCCUUGUACACACCGCCCGU